rnacentral:ncRNA from 2 species
GGUCACGAGUGACCGGCGAUACGCCCUCCGCGUGCCGGUCCGGCAACCGCGUUCCCGCGCACGGUGCCUCUGAGGAAGACCCGCCCGACCCGGCAUCCGGGCCUUCGGGAAGUGCGAGGU